CGUAAACGCGCUUGUUCUCUGGACGCCAUCUUUACUAUUGGCAGGAAGACCCGUUGCCAGGGUUACCUGAGGCCCUGAUUUAAUGAGUGGGAUGGGUACCAGAGCUCCAAUAGCAGUCCAACUACGAGAAUAAUUUGUAGAUGGUAGGUGCCCAAUACAAUACACUACUUAUUAAACGAUGAAAAGCAGCGUAUUUCAUGGAGGAAGACAUCUUUGAAUAUGGACUUCACCAUGGCCUGGUUAGCUAAGAGUGUGACUGGAGCUUCCCGUGCAACGGCCCUGCAGAAAACCAACCUCACCACGCAGGAACUUCAGGAAGCAGGUCGCCAACAUCAAAACUUCCAAAAAGCAUCAAAAGAAACAGUUAAAGCAGUCUCAGAGGAGCCUGGCCUGGGGCUCUUCCUGCAGGCUGGUCUACCCCUUCCUUAUGGAAGGAGGGGCAAUCAGCUUUGUGGACAAGAUACACUGCGAUGGGUAUUUUAAGUAAUACAAGCUUGUAAAGAUCAAGCUUCACUAGAAUAUUUUUAUUAAGGGUCCACAAGCACUGGGGCUUACUUCUAGGGACCCAACCAGGAACUACAGAAGCUAAGAAGACCCAAACCAGGCUCGAGCAAAGGGCAGGAGAAAAUUUGGCAGUCUGGUGGGCUGGGUGAGUUACUCAGCAGAAUUGCAUUUGCAGAGGGAGAGUGGAGGCCAGUCAUGCCUGGGGUACCCCUGCAGGGCGGGCAGGGUGGGGAGGGCU